rnacentral:rRNA from 1 species
AUUGACCGCUGGCGACAGGCCUAACACAUGCAAGUCGAGGGGUAGCACAGAAUAGCUUGCUAUUUGGGUGACGACCGGCGCGCGGGUGAGUAACGCGCAUGCAACCUGCCUAUAAGAGGGCGAUAGCCUUUCGAAAGAAAGCUUACUACCGCAUAAUACUGUUUGUCUGCUUGGAUGAACAGUUAAACUAUUUGGCUUAUAGAUGGGCAUGCGUUCCAUUAGAUAGUUGGUGAGGUAACGGCUCACCAAGUCAGCGAUGGAUAGGGGUUCUGAGAGGAAGGUCCACCACACUGGUACUGAGACACGGACCAGACUCCUACGGGAGGCAGCAGUGAGGAAUAUUGGUCAAUGGGCGAGAGCCUGAACCAGCCAAGUCGCGUGAAGGAUGAAGGUCUUAUGAAUUGUAAACUUCUUUUAUAAGGGAAUAAAAAAGAUCGCGAGUGGUCUAUUGCAUGUACCUUAUGAAUAAGCAUCGGCUAACUCCGUGCCAGCCGCCGCCGUAAUAC